rnacentral:pre_miRNA from 1 species
AGAGGGAUAGCUGGGUCAGAUGGUGGUUCCAUUCCUAGAUUUCCAAGGAAUCUCCAUACUGCUUUCCAUAUUGGCUGCACCAAUUUGCAUUCCCACCAGCAAU